rnacentral:rRNA from 1 species
UACAGAGGGGGCGAGCGUUAUUCGGAAUUAUUGGGCGUAAAGGGCGCGUAGGCGGCUUGGCAAGUCAAAGGUGAAAUCCCUCGGCUCAACCGAGGAACUGCCUUUGAAACUGCCGGGCUCGAGGCCGGGAGAGGGUAGUGGAAUUCCCAGUGUAGCGGUGAAAUGCGUAGAUAUUGGGAGGAACACCGGUGGCGAAGGCGGCUACCUGGACCGGUUCUGACGCUGAGGCGCGAAAGCGUGGGGAGCAAACAGGAUUAGAUACCCUGUAGUCC